CUCUUCGUAGCUCAGUUGGUAGAGCAGCUGACUCUUAAUCAGCGGGUCGUGAGUUCGAGUCUCACCGAGGAGA
rnacentral:tRNA from 2 species